GUGACCACACCCAAAGUCGUCAAGGCAACCUUCUUCUUAAUUGGCAGGCUGGCAAAGGACAAGUUAGCCUGGGGAGGAAGACAGUGGGGAAGAGUCGGUUAUGCCGUCCUGCACACACGGAGUGGAGAGGAGCCUGCAGGUGUCCUCCACAGCCUCCAGAGGGCGCCGCUGAGCGCACUUUUGUCUUUGCUGAUGCUGCUCUGGACUGUGGAUCUCAGAGGAGAGACUUCAGCCUCUCAGCUUCUUCUCAGAGGAAGACUGCAGCUUGAUGAAGAGGAUCCUCUGGGGGCGUGUCUUCAGCUCCUCCGUGGACAGGAAGUGCAGCACCUCCUGGAUCUACCUGAAGUAGCCCUUAUCCACAGCUGCUGCUGUAGCAAGCGUAUAAGCGCUCUCUCUUCGGAGAUGCAGUCAGCUGCAGCUGCUGUAGGUGCCAUGGUUGGAGCUGGUAGCUAUCUGAGCAGAGGAUAUGCUUCUUUCUCUGGUUUUAGUCCUAAAUCUAAGUAUUCCAAAUAACCUCAGAUGUGUUUAAACAUUUGGCUUUAAUCCACAGUCAGCAUGAAGGACGCCGCAGUGUCAUUAACAUUUAACCACCAUUUAUUGAAAGUCUUAAAAAUCUGAACCGUAACCUUUGGGUCAGAAACGCUUCGUGAAGCUUCAAACCACCUGAAACCCAGAGAAGAGGUUUCAUGCCUUUAAGGAAAAGCGGGUCUGGAGCGAGGCUGAGGUGGGGGCCGCACACUCAUGGAUGGCGGGGUCUCUGCUUCACUGUGCUCUCACAUCACAUGAGGACAGCGGGGCUAUUUUCAGCCUCCAUGUCCCUGUGGAGCAGAGAGGGGAAUGGGGGCGGGGUUCUCCACUCGUCAUCCAUUAUGCAGCGUUUUAGUCACAGCUGAGAGGAAGCAGCAAAACAAACAUGGUGGUGGACGCCAGCUCAUUUCUGCUCACAUCCUCACAGAAUGACCCUGGGGGGGGUCAUUUGAAUCUGCCUGCACCACAGGACUCUGUUUCCUACAAAUGACUGAUGAAUCCAGGAAGCACUCACCUUUUUCAUGGAUGUUCUGAUUAAAUCCAGUCAGAUUUUGGACAUGAAUUCGUUUGUGAAGGAAAGACCAAUAAUAACGAGGAUUGACGGCUGACGCAAUAAAGCUGCAUGGUAGUGACAAGCGUUUCCAGGUUGAACGCUGUCCUCCGUCUCGACUUUCCUUUAGAGCCACAGCAACGAAAAAACAGAAAAAGAUGCAACGUUUGGGAGAUUCCAGGACAAACUUGAGCUGCUGAACACAAAAAACUCAUGAAUCCAGCCGUCGGUUAUUUCUGUGAGGGUUUAUUGUAGUGAAACAGUACCACACUGGGAAACAGCGGGGAAAAAUACAAGUGUUACAGCAUUCAGGGCUGAAUCUGACCAACACACGUCAUGUCGGAGACUCCUGUCUCAUUCUGUCCGUUUGUGGGAGGUUUUCAGGAAAACAAAGAAACUAAAUAUUUUCUGUAAACCUGAAGCCUGAAUUUCUGAAGCAGCAAAUUAAUAAUCUGACAGAGACCAAAUUCAUCCCCAAUCUAUGAAAAUCAAUGUGUUAUACACCCCCAAACAUCCCCAUCACACUACACUAUCACACAAGCACCCCCACCACCCCCCAUGCUGCUGUCUCCAGUCCUGAUCGUCUUUGUCUACACGUUGACCAGCCGGGGCUGAAAUAACAGUCAGGAAGUCCAGGUUCUGCCUCACACACCUGCUUCUAUUUCCUGAUUAGAGAGGUGUAAAAAUGAUUUGUUUUGCUCCAAAAGUAUAAAAAGUGAUUUAAAGAGCUUAAGUGAACAAAAUUGACAGGUGUGUAACGGUCAGCAGUGUUCAAAUCAUCGAUUUUUGACUGACAGUUUCCAGUAAAUGUUAGAACAAACUAAA